rnacentral:tRNA from 1 species
AUGAGAUGCCUGAAAAAGGAUUAUUUUGAUAGAAUAAAUCAUGUGAAAUUUCACUCUUAUUAU